UAAGAUUUACCUUUUUUUCGUGACUUCAUUCUGAAGGCUGUUGUGAUUUCACAUCUGAGUACCUGACUUCGCUGGUAAGAAAAUUUCCGAACUGUGGAUGAUAUUUAGUUCUUAAGAUUUCAUAAGUUUGAAAAAACUGACACUCCUAAAAGUAAAGGUUUUCAAAUUACAAAAACAGUCAUCUUAACCUUCGCUUACAUUCUAAUAUUUAACCUGUACAUAAGCAUUCACAUCUAUUGUAAAACUAUAUUUCCAAACAUAAUUUUUUAUAGUGCGAUAUCUAUUCAGUGUCUAGCUAUCGUAUUAGUACUUAUUACAAUUAAGGUAAGAGACAAUAAAAGUUUAGACUCUGCGAACAUGAGUCUCGUCACUUCAGUUAGGCAAGGUUGCCUUCAUUUCCUGCAACAUGAUAUCCAUAUGCUCAGUAUGUAAAGUAUAGAUACUAACAUCUCAUGAAUUUUAUGCUACUUCCACUUUUCUAACAGAAAAUCAGUUAUCAUGCAAUCAUAUAUAUAAACAAUUAAAUUCCUUCAUUUUUAUGUACUUAAAGCUCCCAUCAUUCAUAAAACCCAAAUGGGUCAUCAUUUGUCAUUCAUCAUUCACUCACUUCGGUUAUCACUCACUCAUGCAUUCGUUCGCUCAUUCUUUUAUCCUAUUACCUAUUCAUGUAACCCACAAAUCAUAUUAAUAUUUCCACCUAUUCUAGUAUUAACCCCAAGUAUGAGCUCUCAAACAUAUAUUAAUCAGCAACAAACCAUCUAACUCAAUCAGUUCUAGUCAUCAUUACUAACUUUAAUAACUCUUAAGACAGUAAUGCUUCAAUAAAAUUGAUGAUCCCUACUUACCAUAAUACCCAUUAGAUUUAGCAUCAUAAACGAUAAGAAUGAAUCAAUUAAUUAAUUUACAUCUACCAUCUGUGAAUUAGCAUCAGAUCUAUAUCAUUAUGCUCAGUAUGUUUUUCAUCUUUAUCAUGUCAUAUGAUCUAUUAUGAUGCAUAUAAGGCAGUGUUUAUAAUUAAACCUAUCAAUCAUAUUAUACUUAUAAUUAGACUCUACAAGGCUGUAACAUACAUAUCAAUCAUGAUUUAUUAUUGGACUAAUACAAUGUUCAUAUCCUAUCAUCACCCAACAUAUGACAUCACAAAUAUAAUAUGCAUCCCCGAUCCAACAGUAUUUUAUUAUUUCAAAUCAGAACAAAAAAAAAAUAAUAGCAACAUCCAACCAACAAUGUAAUAUUAUAUUAUAAAAAUUAAACCAAACUACCAACCCAUAGCAACCUACAAAUAGCCGAUAUUAAACUAAACACUAUAUGACUAUAUAUAGUUAACUAUUGUUUUUGUAUUAACUAUAGUUACAAGGUUAGUUAAGUAGUUAUUAGAAGUGUUAUAAAUAGAUUGAUUACUUUGUUAAUUCUUGAUUUUGAUAAUUCAAUUCUUGAUUUGAUCUUAGAUUCAAUUACUCUACUCAAGUUUAGUCCGUACAUGGUAUCAGUUGACCGACUUCUUGAGUAAAAUCGGUCAAUCUUGGUUUUCUCUUUCGUCCCAAACAAAUCGUUCUACACUCACGGACUCAUGCGAAGAUCUACUCACGACGCCGUGGACGAGCGAUCAGGUAGAAAAUUGUAAAAAAAAAUGAUCAGACCUUCAUCCUCUUAUGUAUAGAUCACGGGUGCCAGAUAUGCAUCAAUGCAAAGUUGGACAAUGGAUUCACGUUCCACUUGAUGGUGCUGAAACAUAUUUGUUCUGAAGGACGCAAAUGCAGAACCUGCUGCGACUUCACCGAUUACUUGACAUUGUGGAUCCUAAACAAGUUGUUCCAAAAGAAUUUACUAUUGAUGGAUCGUUGAGUGAAAAAUACGAGUUAUGGAUGGUGAAGAAUUGGACAGUUUUGGGAUGGAUACAAUCUACGGUGGGAACAAAGAUUUGUUCUCUGGUAAUGAAUCACGAGACAACAAAUUCAUGUUGGGCAACACUAGAAGCACAUCUUUUUCCAAGAAAGAUAAUUCAUUCAAACUCCAUCCGAGAACAACUCUGAGAAUUAAAGAAAUCUGAGGCUGAAACAAUGAGUGAAUUUGUGAUCAAGGUUAAAGCCCUUACCGACAGUCUUGCGGCUACCGGCGAUACACUCACCGAUCAAGGUUAGGACCAGAAUAUCGUCCAUUCUUAUCUUCCAUGCACAGUCAACCGGAUAUGAUUUUCGAAGAUUUUUUGCACUUGAUUGUGAGAGAAGAAAAGUUUCUCCAACUAACUGGCACAAUAAAUCCAGUAGUACCACCUUCUGAAGCAGCAUUCGCGGCCAAACAUAAGCACUACAACAAUCGUGAUCACAGGUCCAAAGGUAGAGGAAACAAAAACUGGUGGCGUCGAUCGAACAAUCCAUCAACAUCUGUUAUAUAUCAAUUAUGUGUCACUCCAGGACACAGUGCGAAGACUUGUAGGAAAAGCGGAAAGGCUAUGACUGCAAUGAAUGAUGAAGGCAGGGAAGGAAAUUGGUUAUUGGACUCUGACUCCUCAAGCCACAUGACUCCUGAGGUCGAUAAUCUACCAGACACUCAGGAGUACUCAGGUAUGAAUUACAUUACUAUAGGAAAUGGGUUAGGAUUACACAUUUCCCAUAUAGGGACAGCUACAAUUCAAAUGAAUUAUGGUACAAUCCCACUUAAACACACUAUGGGUGUUCCUGAUUUAUUAAAAUUUAAUUUAUUAUCUAUCCAAUCACUAUCUAAAGAUGUUAAUUGUAGAUUUAUUUUAAAUUGAAAUAAGUUUAAAGUAACUGAUAAUGUUAGCAAUAAAAAAUUAUUAGAAGGAAAAAGAGCAAAAGGAUUAUAUUACUUAAACAAUGCUAAAAUUAAACAAACUGCUAUGAUAGCUAAAACUAAUGAUAAUCUACAUGAAAUUUGACAUAGGAGAUAUGGUCACUCAACAUCGAUCCUUAGUAAUAAACAAAAUUUUAUACAAACAUAAAAUCAAAAAUAAAAUCUCUAAAUAAAACCUCAAUGAAUAAAAUGAAAACGAAACCCUUCAAAAAUAGGAUCAAUUAUAGCAAGAAACCUCUAGAAUUUUUACAUAUGGACGUUUGGGGUCCAACCCCAACUCCAUCAAUUUAUAGACACAAAUACUAUUUGCUAAUAAUAAAUGAAUGUUCUAGAUUUACUUGGCUAUAUCCUCUCUUUUCCAAAGAUGAGGUAUUCAAGACAUUUAUAGAAUUUCAACUUAUGAUUGAAAAAUCAUUAGAAACUGAUAUAAAAGUUAUUCAAAUCGAUGGAGGAGAAUUCAAAAAUUCUUCUUUUCAAAAACAAUGCAGAAGUUAAGGUAUAAGAUAUAAUUUCUCAACUCCAUGCACACCAGAACAAAAUGGACUUGUAGAGAGGAAACAUGGUCACAUCAUAGCAAUGACUAAAUGUUUCUUCUCACAAUUUGGGGUACCACACAAAUACUGGUUAGAAACUUGUACAACCUCAGUCUACACAAUUAAUAGACUACCAUCUAGGAAAUUAGAUUUCAAAUCACCUUAUUCAAUCAUCUAUAACAAGGAACCUGAUACUAACUAUUUAAGAGUAUUUGGAUCUUUAUGUUUUCCUCUAACACCUAAACAAUUAAGAAAUAAAUUCAAAUCAACGGCAUUUUACUGUUGCUUUAUGAGAUAUUCCCUAUCUCAUAAAGUAUAUAAAUGCAUGAGGAUUAAAGAUAAUAAAAUAAUAGUAUCAAGACAUGUAGAAUUUUUUGAAGGAGUAUUCCCCUUCAAAGAUUAUAAAAUUAAAAAUAAAACACCUAAGAUUUCUAAAAUAUCAUUACCUUUACCUAUUCUUAAUGAUACUUAUCAAUAUGGAUUAGAUCCUAAUAAUACAACAGGAAUCGAAGAAAUUCCUAGAGAUCCGGCCCACUGAAAGGGAUACACCGUACCACCAAAUGAUGCACCCCAACCCAUACAAAGUACAAAUAUACAAAAUAGGGAGAAGUGAUUGAAAACAUAACUCAAUCUCCACAACAAUCACAAAAUGUGCUAGAAAAGUUAGUUUCUCAGGAAUCCAGAAUUGAAUUUCAGAAUAAAACAGUGAAAUUUAGAAGAAGCGAAAGAGAGUCUAGAUUACCUGAUAAUAUAUGAAUUAAACUUACCCAAAGCCUUAAUUACAGAAAUAAUUGAAAAUAAAGAAUUAAUACCUAAAAAUUAUAAAGAAGCUAUGGAUCUUCCUCAUUGAAAGAAAGCUAUGAAUGAAGAAUAUGCAGCUUUUAUAAACAACAACACAUGGAGUUUAUCAAUACCCAAAUCUGAUAUUAAUAUGAUUGGUACAAAAUGGAUUUUUAAGAUUAAAAGAAAGUCAGAUGGAUCGAUUGAGAGAUACAAAGCUAGACUAGUAGCACAAGGAUAUUGACUGUGGGCUAAUCUAUAGCCCUGUAAUAAAAUCAUCUACAAUUAGGAUAGCGCUAUCUUUA
rnacentral:lncRNA from 1 species